rnacentral:rRNA from 1 species
GACGAACGCUGGCGGCGUGCUUAACACAUGCAAGUCGAACGGAAAGGCCCUGCUUGCAGGGUACUCGAGUGGCGAACGGGUGAGUAACACGUGGGUGAUCUGCCCUGCACUUCGGGAUAAGCCUGGGAAACUGGGUCUAAUACCGGAUAGGAGCCAUUUUUAGUGUGAUGGUUGGAAAGUUUUUUCGGUGUAGGAUGAGCUCGCGGCCUAUCAGCUUGUUGGUGGGGUAAUGGCCUACCAAGGCGGCGACGGGUAGCCGGCCUGAGAGGGUGGACGGCCAACAUGGGGAUGGGAUUCCGCCCAGACUCCUACCGGGGGCAACAGUUGGGAAUAUUGCACAAUGGGCGCAAGCCUGAUGCAGCGACGCCGCGUGGGGGAUGACGGCCUUCGGGUUGUAAACUCCUUUCGCUAGGGACGAAGCUUUUUGUGACGGUACCUAGAUAAGAAGCACCGGCUAACUACGUG